GCUCGUCAUGCUAGAGUCCUUUUUCAAUGGGGUCCCCAAUGACAAGGCGACGAUGCAUUCGUAUGUCAUCCAUAUCAACUUUCGAUGCCACUUUCUGCGCCUACCAUGGUCACCACGGGUAACAGGGAAUCAGGGUUCGAUUCCGGAG